rnacentral:lncRNA from 1 species
AAUGUUGACCUCCUGCCACUUGAUUAUAUUCUCCUACUGAGGCCUAUUUUGUGAUAGAAUGGUUACAUUCUUGAAAGCAGGAACUAGCGGGAUAAAGGCUAACUCUUUUCCUGGUUCUGCCCCUUUGUAGCUGGGUGGACAUUGGCUAAUUCAUUUAACUUCACUGAAACUUAAUUUACUCAUUUUAAAAAUGGGGAUGAUAUCUGUUCCACUAAAUAUAGCUGUCCCUUGAUGUCCAUGGUGGAGCAGCUACAGGACUGCCUGCAGAUACCCCAGUCCACGGAUGCUCAAGUCCCUUAUGUAAAAUGGUGUAGACACAGAAGGCACUAUCCAUGAACCAGAAAGCGGGCCCUCACCAGACAUCGAAUCUGCCAGCACCUUGAUCUCGCACUUUCCAGCCUCCAGGACUUCGAGAAAUAAAUUUCUGUUGUUUAAAAGCUAUACAGUUUACGGUAUUUUGUUGUGAGCCGGAGUGUACUGAGAGGAUACCUUUCUGAUAUUCAUCAUAAGAUUUGGUUUCUGGUAGGCACUCUCCAAAUGCUAUAUAGUGCUUUAUUG